GACUCGAACCCACACCUCUAUGUAUUUUCCGAAUGUAUAGAGGUGUGGGUUCGAGUU
rnacentral:pre_miRNA from 1 species